rnacentral:rRNA from 1 species
AUACGGAGGGUGCAAGCGUUAAUCGGAAUUACUGGGCGUAAAGAGUACGUAGGUGGUUUAUUAAGUCAGAUGUGAAAGCCCCGGGCUCAACCUGGGAACUGCAUUUGAAACUAGUAGACUAGAGUAUGGUAGAGGGGGGUAGAAUUUCUAGUGUAGCGGUGAAAUGCGUAGAUAUUAGAAGGAAUACCAGUGGCGAAGGCGGCCCCCUGGACCAAUACUGACACUGAGGUACGAAAGCGUGGGUAGCGAACAGGAGUAGAAACCCUAGUAGUCC